GACAGAGGUGGCAAGCGUUGCUCGGAAUCACUGGGCGUAAAGGGCGCGUAGGCGGGAUGGCAAGUCAGUCGUGAAAUCUCUCGGCUCAACCGAGAAACGUCGGCUGAUACUGCCGUUCUUGAGGGAUGCAGAGGAGACUGGAAUUCCCGGUGUAGCGGUGAAAUGCGCAGAUAUCAGGAGGAACACCGGUGGCGAAGGCGGGUCUCUGGGCCGAUACUGACGCUGAGGAGCGAAAGCGUGGGGAGCGAACAGG
rnacentral:rRNA from 1 species